GAUGAACGCUGACAGAAUGCUUAACACAUGCAAGUCAACUGUGGCGGACGGGUGAGUAACGCGUAAAGAACUUGCCUCCCAGCUAGGGACAACAUUUGGAAACGAAUGCUAAUACCUGAUACUGUGAGAGAGCUUUGCGUCCCAUUAGCUAGUUGGAGAGGUAACGGCUCACCAAGGCGAUGAUGGGUAGCCGGCCUGCGAGGGUGAACGGCCACAAGGGGACUGGGACGCAGCCCUUACGCCUACGGGAGGCAGCAGGGGAGAAUAUUGGACAAUGGACCAAAGUCUGAGCCAGCAAUUCGGUGUGCACGAUGAAGUUUUCGGAAUGAAAAGUGCUUUCAGUUGGGAAGCGGUACCAACAGAAGAAGUGACGGCUAAAUACGUGCCAGAAGCCGCGGUAAUUC
rnacentral:rRNA from 1 species